ACCGGUUAUUUCCCCAGUGGCGCCCAGGGUGGUCCGCUGGAGCACGUGAUCGCUGCAAGGAAAGGGGGGGUCAAGGAAGCACUGCAGCCUGAGUUCAAGGCGACCAGCAACAAGUGGUGAAAAACGCCCAGGCCAUGGCCGGCGUGUUCAUCGAGCGCGGUUUCGACGUGGUUUCCGGCGGUACUGAAAACCACCUGUUCCUGCUGUCGCUGAUCAAGCAGGAAAUCUCCGGUAAAGACGCCGACGCCGCUCUGGGCAAAGCGUUCAUCACCGUGAACAAGAACUCCGUGCCAAACGACCCACGCUCCCCGUUCGUCACCUCCGGCCUGCGCUUCGGUACUCCGGCUGUGACCACUCUAGGCUUCUAGGAAGCAGAGUGCAAAGAGCUGGCUGGCUGGAUCACCUCCUAUUUUAUCUCCGACGCUUAAAUGGCCCAUCAUUUUUUUCAGGGGUUCCGACUGGGCCCACGGACAACAAUAGUUUACUCGAAAUGAACUAAGUUUGGCCGGUGCCGUGCGGGGGCCCCAAAGGCGUUUUAAUUGAUAGGGGGGUUCAAACUUUUCGGGGCGGGCCCCCCUUUAUUUACUUUUCCAUUGAUUUGUUGGGGGGGGGCCCCCCCCCUUUUUAAAAAAAGUUUGCGGUGGGUCUUCCCCCCAUUAAAAGCCUAAAAGGUUCCAAGUAAAUUCCAAAACGGGUUUAGCCCUGGCCCCCCAGGGGGCCCAAAACCAGGUGGGCCCCCUAAAGGUUACCCCCCGGGCAAAUUUGAGGAAAGGGGGGGGGCCCUUUCCAAUCGUUUUUCCCCUUAAAGUUCUGGGGUUUUUUACCCUUAUAAAAGGGAAAGUUAAAAAAGGGUUGUUAAAAUUCUUAAGAACCAUUUUUCAAAAAACCCCCCCAAAAACCCCGGGGGGAUUUUCAUAUUUAAUUUUUAAAAACCCUAAACCCCUUUUUUACCCCAAAAAAAAAAGUAAGGGGGGACCCCUCUCUUUUUGGUCUCCCGCCCCCCGCGCACAAAAAAACCGGGGGGGGGUUUUUUUUUCCCGAAAAAAAACAGAAUCUCAAACAGAAGGAGAAAAGAAAGUUUUACCUGGUUGUUGUGUAUAAAGAUGGGGGGAAAAAAAAAAAAAAAAAAGUCGGCCC
rnacentral:rRNA from 1 species